rnacentral:rRNA from 1 species
UACGUAGGGGGCAAGCGUUGUCCGGAUUUAUUGGGCGUAAAGAGCGUGUAGGCGGCCAUACAGGUCCGUUGUGAAAACUGGAGGCUUAACCUCCAGACGUCGAUGGAAACCGUAUGGCUAGAGUCCGGAAGAGGAGAGUGGAAUUCCUGGUGUAGCGGUGAAAUGACGCAGAUAUCAGGAGGAAUACCGAUGGCGAAGGCAGGUCUCUGGGCUGACACUGACGCUCAUGCACGAAAGCGUGGGGAGCAAACAGG